rnacentral:rRNA from 1 species
UACGUAGGGGGCGAGCGUUGUCCGGAAUCAUUGGGCGUAAAGAGCGUGUAGGCGGCUUGGCAAGUCUGACGUGAAAGCCCGCGGCUCAACCACGGAUUGUCGUUGGAAACUGCCUCGCUAGAGUCCGGAAGAGGAGAGCGGAAUUCCUGGUGUAGCGGUGGAAUGCGCAGAUAUCAGGAAGAACACCCGUGGCGAAGGCGGCUCUCUGGGACGGUACUGACGCUGAGACGCGAAAGCGUGGGGAGCGAACAGG